GUAGGUGGCAAGCGUUGUCCGGAAUUACUGGGUGUAAAGGGAGCGUAGGCGGGAAGCCAAGUCAGCUGUGAAAACUACGGGCUUAACCUGUAGACUGCAGUUGAAACUGGCUUUCUUGAGUGAAGUAGAGGUUGGCGGAAUUCCGAGUGUAGCGGUGAAAUGCGUAGAUAUUCGGAGGAACACCGGUGGCGAAGGCGGCCAACUGGGCUUUAACUGACGCUGAGGCAUGAGAGCAUGGGGAGCAA
rnacentral:rRNA from 1 species